rnacentral:rRNA from 1 species
GAUCCUGGCUCAGGAUGAACGCUAGCUACAGGCUUAACACAUGCAAGUCGAGGGGAAACGACAUCGAAAGCUUGCUUUUGAUGGGCGUCGACCGGCGCACGGGUGAGUAACGCGUAUCCAACCUGCCCACCACUUGGGGAUAACCUUGCGAAAGUAAGACUAAUGCCCAAUGAUAUCCCACGAAGGCAUCCGAAUGGGAUUAAAGAUUUAUCGGUGAUGGAUGGGGAUGCGUCUGAUUGG